rnacentral:rRNA from 1 species
GACGAACGCUGGCGGCGUGCUUAACACAUGCAAGUCGAGCGGAAAGGCUCCUUCGGGGGUACUCGAGCGGCGAACGGGUGAGUAACACGUGAGUAAUCUGCCUCUGGCUUCGGGAUAGCCACCGGAAACGGUGAUUAAUACCAGAUACGACACAUCACUGCAUGGUGCGUGUGUGGAAAGUUUUUUCGGCCAGGGAUGUGCUCGCGGCCUAUCAGCUUGUUGGUGGGGUAAUGGCCUACCAAGGCUUCGACGGGUGGCCGGCCUGAGAGGGUGACCGGCCACACUGGGACUGAGACACGGCCCAGACUCCUACGGGAGGCAGCAGUGGGGAAUAUUGGACAAUGGGCGGAAGCCUGAUCCAGCAACGCCGCGUGAGGGAUGACGGCCUUCGGGUUGUAAACCUCUUUCAGCACAGACGAAGCGCAAGUGACGGUAUGUGCAGAAGAAGGACCGGCCAACUACGUGCCAGCCGCCGCCGUAAGAC